GAUCAUGGCUCAGGAUGAACGCUGGCGGCGUGCUUAACACAUGCAAGUCGAACGGACUUUAUAUGAAGCCUAGCGAUUAUAAAGUUAGUGGCGGACGGGUGAGUAACGCGUGGGUAACCUGCCCUGUACAGGGGGAUAACAGCUGGAAACGGCUGCUAAUACCGCAUAAGCGCACGAGGAGACAUCUCCUAGUGUGAAAAACUCCGGUGGUACAGGAUGGGCCCGCGUCUGAUUAG
rnacentral:rRNA from 1 species